CCACGUUUAGGGCCGAGCUUUCCUUCCCUCCCUGUCGGGCUGUGUUCUGGACUCCAGAUUAGAGAUGCCGAGUUUCAUUCACUCUGUAACCUUUCUCGGAAGUGCUUAGUCACUGAUCCGGCCACGUGGCAUCCGCUUUCCUGUUGUGGGUCUGGUAUGUUAACUAAGAAAGUUAUUUUCCAGCCUAUUUAGAAACAGCAGGAACUUGAAUUGACUUGCUAGAGUGGCGGUGCUGAGGAGUUAGGGCCACGUGCCAAAGGAAAGAGCGGAUGGCCAAUCACCAGGGAGCAAAUUUCUCAAUCUGCAGCCUGAGACUAAACCUUCCCGCUGGCAAGGGAGAUCCAUGUUAGGCCUUUGCUGCCAGAUUCACACUGGGAGAUGUACUGUGACUUCACAGUGGCUCCGCAUGCAGCCUGGAGCUCAGAAAGGGAAUCGUGAACCACCUUUUUCUAUGGACAAAAACCUGGAGGAAAGAAGGUUAAUCCUAGAGAUAGGGGACAAAAUCUUGAAGAGAGAGUAAAGAUGAGAGGAGACCAAAAAGUCCCAGACAUGGCAAUAGUAAGGGACAGAAGACCAGAUGUGUGGAUAAUAGGGGCCAGGCUAGCAAGUCUGAGGCCUUGCUGGUGCUGCCACUAGCUCUGCCCCCCCUUCUUAGCCCAUCCCCAUCCCAGCUCCUACCUGGAACUUCCCAAGAACAGAGACGCUGGGCAGCAGAGGAGAACACAGCUAUUGCCAGCAAUGUUUGGGUGCACAAUCUGAGUCUACAGGUGUGAAGGAGGAAGCAGGAUGCCUCGUCAGAAAUCAGCCAGCUGAGAAGGCCUGCCCCUCUGGCCAGGAGGCCAGCCCAGCCCAAGGGUGCUUACCUGAGAUAACCUCACCCCCGUGG